rnacentral:misc_RNA from 1 species
GGAAAAGAAGCUUGUUGCCCCAAUCCGAAUCUGAAUCGGACAAUCUUCUGAAGUCCCACGUUAUCCUACCAGCCACGAGAAAAUGAUCCUUCCCCCCCAUGAUGUUCCACUCUGGCCUCUUUUGAAGCCAAUCAACCAAAUCAAGAGAAGCAGCAUCCCUCGUAGUUACAUUAUAACCCCAAAGAUACCUUGCAAUGUCAAACCCUGCAUAAAACGGCACAAAAAUAGCAGCAGCCAGAGAGGAAUCAUUUGUGAGGCACUCGUACUGUUUCACCCGAUUGCCAAAAAUGACAUCCACGGCAAACUGAUUAGUCGCAUACCAUCCAGUAUUCGAGAACACUCCCUCAGCAUUCUCCAUUUGCGGCCCAAGCCCAGCAUUAGCAGUAAACUUACAAAAAUUAGUCCAAGGACUAAGAGUUCUACAUUCCUUAAGCAUAUCUUCAUUGAACCUUGGAGGAAGAUCAUGCACAUAAAUAUACCUUCCACCACAUGGAUCACUUUUAUUCUCUACCGUUCUCAACGCUCUCAUAAACGAGUAACUCUCGGUAUCUCUCCGGGAGCUAUUAUCGCUACUCACCGGCCUAACCACCAAAGGUGUUGGUUGCACAUUCUUUUUGAGCGGUUUGGACUUCACUACUAACUCAUUGUUAUCCAUUUCAACUUUAGCAUUACGUAUAGUAGCACGAUUCAUGGGAUUUGGAUUUGAUUGUUUAUUGAGGGAAAGUGGAUCCAAAUUAGGUGAAUCAUGAACAUGAUUACCCCCAAGAAUCACAAAAUGAAAAUACAAUAGUAAAAACCAAAACAAACCUGACAAUGAAGCUAACAAGCAAACCCUAGGUUGAUGAUUUUUGCCUUGCCCUUUCUCCAUUGAAUCAUCAAACGAUUGGGACGUCGGAGAACGGCGCCUCAUCAGAUUAUAACCAUACCAACAUAAAUAAACCACCAAAAAUCUCUAAAGAUACAAUCUUUAUGACAAACCCCAAAAUCUCAAGAAUCAAUGAAAAUAUUGCGAAUUUCAACACAACCCUAAAACCCAAGUCUUUAAUAAAGCUCAAAAAUAGGUGUAUUAAUUUUCCAAGAAAAGAAAAAGGGGUUCGUCAUAAACUAUUAUAGAACCAAAAAAGAGUGAAAUGCGGAGGAUUUAGCACGUCAUGAAAUGGAGAAAAUCAAGACCAUAAACGAAGAAACAGAGAGAAAUUUAAGCUAAAAGAAGGUUCCAGCAAAGUUUAACAGCACAUUAGCAGGUGGAAAGAGAUUGAUGAAGAACAAUUUAUAGGUAACAAAAAAACCAUUUUUGUGGGUAUUAACCAACUGUUAUA